GGGGAUUUAGCUCAGUGGCAUAGCGCCUGCCUGGCAAGCUCGAGGUCAUGAGUUCAAUCCCCG
rnacentral:tRNA from 1 species